rnacentral:tRNA from 1 species
UGUUCUGUGGCUUAGUUGGUUAUUGUGCCGGUCUAGUAAAUACGGAGUCGUGGGUUCGAAUGCCAUCAGAACGU